CCAAUGGGAUUAACAUUGCCCCAAUAAGUUUCGACUUGAGGAUGCUGCAAAGGAUCACCAUACACUUCGCUGGUGCUAGUCAGCAGAAAUCGAGCUCCAACUCUUUUUGCCAGCCCCAACAUGUUCAAUGUUCCCAUCACAUUUGUUUUGUGAUAUCUAACUAUUUAAGUCAAGGAUAACCUUACCCAAAGUCCCCAAAAACAUACAUUAUAUAUUAACAUUUUACCACAUGCACAUACCCAACCCCACCAAAAAAACGUAAGAAAAAACACCUCAUAUGUCAGUUUUAACAAAAGUAGGCGGAUAUAGGAUUUAAAUUUAAUGGGUUCACGUUUUAAGAUUUUUAAUAUUAAACUUAUUCAUAUACUGUUAAAUUAUGGGUUCAAAUCUAAUACUUAUUGAGAUUUUAGUAGAUUUUUACAUAUAAAUCUAUACUUCAUAUCGAAAGUAAUGGGUUUAGUUGAACCCUUAGCUGAAAUGCUACAUCCGCCCCCGACAAAAACCAUACUUCAAUCUCCAUCCAAGACUUUACCUUGCAAACCAAACCCUUUGCAUUUCAUCAUUUAAUCGAUACGUCAACAUUAUAGAUGAAUAAAAAGACAUAAGAAUUUAACUUAAAAAGAAGAAAAAGAAACAUGCUACCCAACUAUAUGUCUAUUGUAGGAAAUUUCAUAAUCUUUUAAACAAAAUUUACUUUUAAAAAUUAAGUUUUUUUUUUCUGUUUAACUAUUCAAUAUCUACUGGAUUUUAGAUACCAAAUGGUUCAACAUGAACAAAAAAGUUUUUUUUUUUUUCAAAAAUAAAUUUUGUUUUCAGAAAUUACGAAUUUAUUAAAAUCAUCUAUCAGCUUAACUCAAGAAAAUAGAUAAUGAAGGAUAUGAUGGUCUUGACAGGAUUAAAUUUGUAAUGAACAGGAGAGGCAGGGCAAGCCAAAUGAUAAACCUGAUCAACUUCAAGUAAAAUUGGCUCCACCACAUCAUGUCUAGCCAUCUCGAAUUUAGG
rnacentral:lncRNA from 1 species